rnacentral:misc_RNA from 1 species
UUUCCGUAGGUGAACCUGCGGAAGGAUCAUUCAUAAUUAAGUGUUUUAUGGCACUUUUUAAAAAUCCAUAUCCACCUUGUGUGCAAUGUUAGAUCUCGUCAAUCUUGGCGAGAUUUUUAUACCUCAACUCAUUCUUUAACUAAUUUGUCUGAAAAAUAUUAUGAAUACUUAAUUCAAAAUACAACUUUCAACAACGGAUCUCUUGGCUCUC